GUGCUUGCUUCGGCAGCACAUAUACUAAAAUUGGAACGAUACAGAGAAGAUUAGCAUGGCCCCUGUGCGAGGAUGACAUGCAAAUUCGUGAAGCAUUCCAUUUGUUU
ensembl:snRNA U6 U6 spliceosomal RNA